GACGAACGCUGGCGGCGUGCUUAACACAUGCAAGUCGAACGAAAAGAGGGAAAGAGCUUGCUCUUUCCGGAAUUGAGUGGCAAACGGGUGAGUAACACGUAAACAACCUGCCUUCAGGAUGGGGACAACAGACGGAAACGACUGCUAAUACCGAAUAAGUUCCAAGAGCCGCAUGGCCCAUGGAAGAAAAGGUGGCCUCUACCUGUAAGCUAUCGCCUGAAGAGGGGUUUGCGUCUGAUUAGCUGGUUGGAGGGGUAACGGCCCACCAAGGCGGCGAUCAGUAGCCGGUCUGAGAGGAUGAACGGCCACACUGGAACUGAGACACGGUCCAGACUCCUACGGGAGGCAGCAGUGGGGAAUCUUCCGCAAUGGGCGAAAGCCUGACGGAGCAACGCCGCGUGAGUGAUGACGGCCUUCGGGUUGUAAAACUCUGUGAUCCGGGACGAAAAGGCAGAGUGCGAAGAACAAACUGCAUUGACGGUACCGGAAAAGCAAGCCACGGCUAACUACGUG
rnacentral:rRNA from 1 species